CGUCAUUACUCUUAAAGAAAAUGACAAAAGAAAGAAAGAGAGUUCUUUUCCUCUGGCCGAUCAUUUCCUACAGGGACCAAAACCCUAACGUGUAAACAGAUUUCGGUGUGGAUGUGGAUUUCAACAGGUUGCAAACUAAUUUUGUCAUCUGGUGUGGAUUUCGUCUACUGUGAAUAGAUAUUUCUUCUAAUGCAAACAGAUUUCUUCUAAUGGUCUUUGUUUCAUUACUCCCUGUGUUUCAGUGCUCUUUGUUUCAGGCGAUCCCUUUGUUUUGUAGAAGAUGCUUCAGAGAUUAAGGAGAAUUGCAAGAGGCUAAUGGGUCAAUUAGCAAAGUUAAGACUCGACCAUGUUCGUACAGAUAACACACCAUGUAGGGGCAAUGACCCAACCCAUAAUUCUAUAGAUGCUUGUGCCGAGAUGUCAUGUGGAAGCACUAAAGAUGGAAGUAGUAAAGUGCACAGCCCCUUGGUGGUAAGAAGCAAAGAGAGGCCACCAUCAAAGCGUAAAGUGUCUAUAGCGGAAAAAGCGGUUAAUACAUGUAAAGCGAGAAAUAAAAGAAAUCAGCAGUCUUUGUCAAAGUCAUCUAAUGCGACAAACACAGGAGAUAGUCUAACCCAAUAGUCUCUAUUGUCGCAACAUGAAACGAUUGGUGUUACCAGGGUCAUCCAACUGUGUUGUGGAGUCAAUCCAGUACAAAUAUUGGGUUCCAUUCAACCAUAUAUGAUGAUGUGAAUAGAAUCGGUCAAAAUGUAGAUAUUAACAUUCGUUGGCCUCAUGAUUCCUACGAUAGAUAGGGUGAUGGGCUUCAAUAAUUGUGAUGGAAUUUUAGUCACUUGAGUGUUAUAGCAUUUGUAAUUUUUGAUGGAAAAGGGACUCUGGUCCCUGGAUGUUCAACUAGCAGCAGGCAACGUUCAAGGGAGGUUUGCCUAAUUUUCUUUUUUAUUUUUUUUUUAUCUAGUGAA